GCCGGGCGCGGUGGCGCGUGCCUGUAGUCCCAGCUCCUGGGGAGGCUGAGGCUGGAGGAUCUCUUGAGCCCAGGAGUUCUGGACUGUAGUGUGCCAUGCCGAUCGGGUGUCCACACUAAGUUCGGCCUCAAUAUAGUGACCUCCUGGGAGCGGGGGACCACCAGGUUGCCUAAGGAGGGGUGAACCACCCCAGGUCAGAAACGGAGCAGGUCAAAACUCCCGUGCUCAUCAGUAGUGGGAUCGCGGCCGGGCGCGGUGGCUCAAGCUUGUAAUCCCAGCACUUU
rnacentral:SRP_RNA from 1 species